AAUGAGUUAUAUGCAAGUCUUCUAAAUUUGUUUUAGGGAAACCUGCUCAUUU
rnacentral:tRNA from 1 species